UACGAAGGGGGCUAGCGUUGCUCGGAAUCACUGGGCGUAAAGGGCGCGUAGGCGGAUCUUUAAGUCGGGGGUGAAAGCCUGAGGCUCAACCUCAGAAUUGCCUUCGAUACUGGAGAUCUUGAGACCGGAAGAGGUAAGUGGAACUGCGAGUGUAGAGGUGAAAUUCGUAGAUAUUCACAAGAACACCAGUGGCGAAGGCGGCUUACUGGUCCGGUUCUGACACUGAGGAGCGAAAGCGUGGGGAGCGAUCCGG
rnacentral:rRNA from 1 species